rnacentral:snRNA from 1 species
AAGUGUUACAACUCUUUUAGAAUUUGUCUAGCAGGCUUUCCAGUUUCAGCUGGAAGGCCAAA